GACAACUGGGCCUGUAUUGUUUGGGCUUGGUGGAGAGCAUGGAGCGGCUCCAACUCGUGCUUUUAUUGAGCACACUUCUGUGUUGUAAAACGUGCAAUCUUCUUGAUGGGAGGGCUUUACCACCACACUAAAAAGGAUCAAUCCUUGAGGUGGGAACCUAUUCCCCAAGAUAUAUAUAAUUAUAUAUGCAUGUUUCACGUGUAUGUCCUAGGUCCUGUAGGGGAUGAUCGGAAGGUUGGUAGUCUCUCCUCUGGUCCAGGGCGGAAAGUUACGUCUCGACUGGCGCCGGAAAAACUCAUGGUUCAAGGAGACGACCUCCUGAAAUG
rnacentral:sRNA from 1 species